GAUGAACGCUGGCGGCGUGCCUAACACAUGCAAGUCGAGCGGCAGCGCGGGGUGCUUGCACCCUGUCGGCGAGCGGCGGACGGCUGAGUAACGCGUGGGAACGUGCCCCAAAGUGAGGAAUAACUGCCCGAAAGGGUAGCUAAUACCGCAUAUUAUCUUCGGAUCAAAGGAUUUAUCCGCUUUGGGAGCGGCUCGCGUCGGAUUAGGUAGUUGGUGAGGUAAUGGCUCACCAAGCCGACGAUCCGUAGCUGGUCUGAGAGGAUGACCAGCCAGACUGGAACUAGGACACGGUCCAGACUCCUACGGGAGGCAGCAGUGAGGAAUCUUCCACAAUGGGCGAAAGCCUGAUGGAGCAACGCCGCGUGCAGGACGAAGGCCUUCGGGUUGUAAACUGCUUUUAUAAGUGAGGAAUAUGACGGUAACUUAUGAAUAAGGAUCGGCUAACUACGUG
rnacentral:rRNA from 1 species